rnacentral:rRNA from 1 species
UCUUCGAGUCGUUGAUUUCACACUGCCGAGAAAAGCCUCUAGAUAGAAAAUAGGUGCCCGUACCGCAAACCGACACAGGUAGUCAAGAUGAGAAUUCUAAGGUGAGCGAGCGAACUCUCGUUAAGGAACUCGGCAAAAUGACCCCGUAACUUCGGGAGAAGGGGUGCUCUUUAGGGUUAACGCCCAGAAGAGCCGCAGUGAAUAGGCCCAAGCGACUGUUUAUCAAAAACACAGGUCUCUGCUAAACCGUAAGGUGAUGUAUAGGGGCUGACGCCUGCCCGGUGCUGGAAGGUUAAGAGGAGUGGUUAGCUUCUGCGAAGCUACGAAUCGAAGCCCCAGUAAACGGCGGCCGUAACUAUAACGGUCCUAAGGUAGCGAAAUUCCUUGUCGGGUAAGUUCCGACCCGCACGAAAGGCGUAACGAUUUGGGCACUGUCUCAACGAGAGACUCGGUGAAAUCAUAGUACCUGUGAAGAUGCAGGUUACCCGCGACAGGACGGAAAGACCCCGUGGAGCUUUACUGUAGCCUGAUAUUGAAAUUCGGCACAGCUUGUACAGGAUAGGUA